rnacentral:rRNA from 1 species
GCCCGCUCAGAAACUCAAAGGAAUUCGACGGGGCCCGCACAAGCGGUGGAGCAUGUGGUUAAUUCGAUGGUACGCGAGGAACCUUACCAGGGCUUGACAUACGUUGGAGGCGCAUCGAAAGGUGCGUGCCGCUUGCGGCCGGCGUACAGGUGCUGCAUGGCUGUCGUCAGCUCGUGCUGUGAAGUGUUGGGUUAAGUCCCGCAACGAGCGCAACCCCUGCUGCCUGUUGCCACCACGAGAGGUGGGGACUCAGGCGGGACCGCCGGUGACAAACCGGAGGAAGUGGGGACGACGUCAAGUCAUCAUGGCCCUUAUGUCCUGGGCUACACACGUGCUACAAUGGCCGGUACAGAGCGCAGCGAGGCCGCGAGGCGGAGCGAAUCGCUUAAAGCCGGUCCCAGUACGGAUUGGAGUCUGCAACCCGACUCCAUGAAGUUGGAAUCGCUAGUAAUCGCGCAUCAGCAUGGCGCGGUGAAUACGUUCCCGGGCCUU